rnacentral:rRNA from 1 species
GAUGAACGCUGGCGGCGUGCCUAAUACAUGCCAGUCGAGCGAACAGACGAGGAGCUUGCUCCUCUGACGUUAGCGGCGGACGGGUGAGUAACACGUGGAUAACCUACCUAUAAGACUGGGAUAACUUCGGGAAACCGGAGCUAAUACCGGAUAAUAUAUUGAACCGCAUGGUUCAAUAGUGAAAGACGGUUUUGCUGUCACUUAUAGAUGGAUCCGCGCCGCAUUAGCUAGUUGGUAAGGUAACGGCUUACCAAGGCAACGAUGCGUAGCCGACCUGAGAGGGUGAUCGGCCACACUGGAACUGAGACACGGUCCAGACUCCUACGGGAGGCAGCAGUAGGGAAUCUUCCGCAAUGGGCGAAAGCCUGACGGAGCAACGCCGCGUGAGUGAUGAAGGUCUUCGGAUCGUAAAACUCUGUUAUUAGGGAAGAACAAAUGUGUAAGUAACUAUGCACGUCUUGACGGUACCUAACCAGAAAGCCACGGCUAACUACGUG